rnacentral:tRNA from 1 species
GGCGUGCUAGCUCAGUCGGUUAGAGCGUCGUGCUAAUAACGCGAAGGUCGUAGGUUCGAUCCCUGCGCAGACCA